GGAAAUAAAGCUCUCAUCUUUAAGCUCUGUGCCACUGGCCUACCCAAACAUAGCAUCAAAUUUUCUCUGUCUUCUUGCUCUCUCUUGUCCUAAGAUGAUGUAUGUAUGUACCAUUUGUAUGUGCAUGUACAUCAUUUCCACAAUGAUGCUUGCACAUUUCAUCCAUACGGUUUUUGAUGAUGCAUGAGAAGUACGUGGUG
rnacentral:lncRNA from 1 species